GAAGGGAGAAAGUUAUUUGGGAACUAAAGCAAUGUUAUUUGGAUUACUACUCUGGGUCUGGGUGUUCGAUACAGGUUAGAAAUUCAGUCAAAAUGCUUAAAGGAUAAAGUGCUCACUUCUCAGAUAUCUGUCAAUAUUCUUCAUCAAUGGCUUUUUGGACUAAAAAUUUAGAGGCCAGGAAGUAUUAAUUAAUUUAUCUAAAGUCUGUUUAUACAUGUUGUAAAACUUCAUUAUCAGUUAUUAGUGGGUCCUUUUGUAGAGAUUAAGUGAUCACUGAAAGCUAGCUAGCUACUUUUUUUUAAAUAUAUUUCACCUUCAUGUAUU